rnacentral:rRNA from 1 species
GAGGAAUAUUGGACAAUGGGUGCAAGCCUGAUCCAGCCAUCCCGCGUGAAGGAUUAAGGACCUAUGGUUUGUAAACUUCUUUUGUACAGGGAUAAACCAUUCUACGUGUAGAAUGCUGAAGGUACUGUACGAAUAAGCACCGGCUAACUCCGUGCCAGCAGCCGCGGUAAUACGGAGGGUGCAAGCGUUAUCCGGAUUUAUUGGGUUUAAAGGGUCCGUAGGCGGAUGUGUAAGUCAGUGGUGAAAUCUCACAGCUUAACUGUGAAACUGCCAUUGAUACUGCAUGUCUUGAGUGUUGUUGAAGUAGCUGGAAUAAGUAGUGUAGCGGUGAAAUGCAUAGAUAUUACUUAGAACACCAAUUGCGAAGGCAGGUUACUAAGCAACAACUGACGCUGAUGGACGAAAGCGUGGGGAGCGAACA